CAGCCCUAUGGAGUUCAAAACUCACAUUCUCAUGUCUCAUGUCAACAGGAAACAAUUAUCAAAGGUUGGAAUGAUAAAAAGGACAGAAUCAUACAUCCUGGACCAAAGCUACAAAGGCACUAUUUUUACAUAAUCAACAUUUGCAGAGAGAGAGAGAGAGAGAGAGAGAAGAUGUACUCAGCCUUCAUAAUCCUCCUAAGCUCCCAAGCAAAAGGGCCCCAAAUAAUCAAGAUGGCCCCAGGAAAUAAUCACAGAAGAAAGCAAGUCUAAGAUGGACAAUGUGACCCUAAUACUUUCUUUUCAUGGAUUUAAUUAAACUGAUACCUUGUGUAAAUAUAUGUCACUCACUUCCCAAGUUUAGUGAACCAUCCUUCAUCAACUUCAUGCUUAGACUGUUAAAUCUUCCCCUGGAAUAAUGACGGGAAGCCUUCCUCCAAUCUGUUCCAGUUUUCAUCAUAGCAACAAACUCAUCAUAGCUGAUUUUCCCAUCCUUGUCUGUAUCCACUUCUUGGAAGAUGUCAUUUGCUACAUUUGUACAAUCAUCUGCACCGUCUUCCAUCAAUGCAUCCCGGAGUUCAUCUGGUUCAAUAUAACCGUUGCCAUCUUUGUCAAAGCAGGAAAAUGCCUUGCGGAGAUGCUCAUCAUUGGCCAUCCUUUGCAGAUGAAGGGAAACAGCAACAAAUUCCCCAUAAUCUAGUGUACCUUUCCCAUUAGCAUCUACAGCUUUAACUCCCAGCUUGCAGAGUCUGAAGUUCAAAUUACGAAGUCCAGCUUUCAAUUCUUCAAUUGAAACAAUACCAUCAUUAUCUGUGUCCAUCUUCCUGAACAUCUCUUUGAUGUCUUCAACUUCUUCAAUGGACAAGAAAUCAGCAAUAACCCU
rnacentral:misc_RNA from 1 species